rnacentral:rRNA from 1 species
AGCGAACGCUGGCGGCAGGCUUAACACAUGCAAGUCGAGCGGGCACUUCGGUGUCAGCGGCAGACGGGUGAGUAACACGUGGGAACGUACCCUUUGGUUCGGAAUAACGCUGGGAAACUAGCGCUAAUACCGGAUACGCUCUUUUGGGGAAAGGCUUGCUGCCGAAGGAUCGGCCCGCGUCUGAUUAGCUAGUUGGUGGGGUAAUGGCCUACCAAGGCGACGAUCAGUAGAUGGUCUGAGAGGAUGAGCAGCCACACUGGGACUGAGACACGGCCCAGACUCCUACGGGAGGCAGCAGUGGGGAAUAUUGGACAAUGGGCGCAAGCCUGAUCCAGCCAUGCCGCGUGAGUGAUGAAGGCCUUAGGGUUGUAAAGCUCUUUUGUCCGGGACGAUAAUGACGGUACCGGAAGAAUAAGCCCCGGCUAACUUCGUG